rnacentral:rRNA from 1 species
GAUGAACGCUGGCGGCGUGCCUAAUACAUGCAAGUCGAGCGAACAGACGAGGAGCUUGCUCCUCUGACGUUAGCGGCGGACGGGUGAGUAACACGUGGAUAACCUACCUAUAAGACUGGGAUAACUUCGGGAAACCGGAGCUAAUACCGGAUAAUAUAUUGAACCGCAGGGUUCAAUAGUGAAAGACGGUUUUGCUGUCACUUAUAGAUGGAUCCGCGCCGCAUUAGCUAGUUGGUAAGGUAACGGCUUACCAAGGCAACGAUGCGUAGCCGACCUGAGAGGGUGAUCGGCCACCCUGGAACUGAGCCACGGUCCAGACUCCUACGGGAGGCAGCAGUAGGGAAUCUUCCGCAAUGGGCGAAAGCCUGACGGAGCAACGCCGCGUGAGUGAUGAAGGUCUUCGGAUCGUAAAACUCUGUUAUUAGGGAAGAACAAAUGUGUAAGUAACUAUGCACGUCUUGACGGUACCUAAUCAGAAAGCCCCGGCUAACUACGUG